rnacentral:RNase_P_RNA from 1 species
GAGGAAAGUCCGGGCUUGUAAGUAGAAGUUGUUGCAGGAUAAGAUCCUGUACAAGUAAUUGUGAGGCUAGUGCCACAGAAAAAAUACCGCUAUUUUUAAUUUAGUAAGGGUGCAAUGGUGUGUGUGUUAUGCUUUGGUCUCUUCAUUUAAUAAUUUAUCUACAAUAAGGCUAUACUAUUUAUAAAAUCUUAGUUACGAACUUACUCGUUAGUUUAAUUAUUGUUUCCUUACUCUUCUGUCUUUUGAACACUCAAUUUUAGAAUAGUUUUAUAUCAUUCUUUGAUAUAAUGAUAAUCGUUCUAGCUACUUAGCCUAAAUUGUACUAAAUAAUGAAGAGAGUGUAGUAUCGAUAGAUUUGUGUAAAAAUUUUUUUCGUAUCUUUGAAAGAUAACAAAAAUGUUAUGAGCAUUUUUUAUAUAAAUGUAAACAGAAUGUUCUCUAAAGAGCUAAUACUGAUUUAGUUAAAAGCGCACCAGUGAUACUGAGAAGUGUUUGCUAGGUAAACCCCAACAAGAAGCAAAUUCGUACAUUAUUUUUAACUACUUAUAAUUGACGAUCUGAAAGUGCAAAAAGUUAUGAGUAAUUGUAACUUCAGAUAAAUAACCAUCCUUUUAACUAUCUUUAUAAACUAUUGAUAUUUUAAAAGAACAAAACCCGGCUUAA